CGACCAUCACGGUGCCUGCCGCGAUGGUCACGAUGCCGCCGAUGAGAAGACGGCGCGGUCCGAGCGUGCGGAUCGCCUCGCUGACGAACACGACCAGAACCGCGCUGAACAGAUAGUAACAGGUGGUCGCCGUCGAAAUCAGUGAAGCCGGCCAUCCAUGAAGGCGUUGCAGUUCGGCAAGGUAGACGCCNNNNNNNCCGGCAGCCCAGGCGAAUGUCGCGACAAGGAAGCAGACCCCGACGACCGGCCAGCCCUCAU
rnacentral:misc_RNA from 1 species